GACAGAGGGGGCAAGCGUUGCUCGGAAUCACUGGGCGUAAAGGGCGCGUAGGCGGGAUGGCAAGUCGGUCGUGAAAUCCUUCAGCUUAACUGGGGAACUGCGUCUGAUACUGGAAGGCUUGAAUCCGGGAGAGGGAUGCGGAAUUCCAGGUGUAGCGGUGAAAUACGUAGAUAUCAGGAGGAAUAUCGGUGGUGUAGACGGCUCUCUGGACCGCAACUGACGCUGAGACACGAAAGCGUGGGUAGCAAACAGG
rnacentral:rRNA from 1 species